GAUGAAGAACGCAGCGAAAUGAGAUAAGUAAUGUGAAUUGCAGAAUUCAGUGAAUCAUCGAAUCUUUGAACGCACCUUGCGCCUUUUGGUAUUCCGAAAGGCACACCUGUUUGAGCGUCAUGAAUACCUCAAUCUCCAUCUUUUCUUCGGAUUGAUGGGUGACUUGGAUGUUGAGCCCUGCUGGUAUGCUAUAUCAGCUGGCUUUAAACUUAUUAGCCGGCUCUGUACUGGAUCGGUUUGACUCGACGUGAUAAUAUUAUCGUUGAGGAUGCAUGUCUCAUGCAGCCGGAAAGUAUCAAAGCAGCUUCUAGCUUGCCUUUAGUGCACUUUUACAUUUUAGACCUCAGAUCAGGUGGGACUACCCGCUGAACUUAAGCAUAUCAAUAAGCGGAGGA
rnacentral:misc_RNA from 1 species